rnacentral:rRNA from 1 species
AGAGGGUGCGAGCGUUAAUCGGACUUACUGGGCGUAAAGAGCGCGUAGGUGGUAUGUUAAGUUAGAUGUGAAAGGGCCUGGGGCUUAACCUGGGGAGUGCAUUUGAUACUGGCAUACUAGAGUACAGUAGAGGGAAGUGGAAUUUCCGGUGUAGCGGUGAAAUGCGUAGAUAUCGGAAGGAACACCAGUGGCGAAGGCGACUUUCUGGACUGUAACUGACACUGAGGCGCGAAAGCGUGGGUAGCGAACAGGAUUAGAGACCCUGGUAGUCCACGCCGUAAACGAUGAGAACUAGCUGUUGGGACCGUCAAGGUCUUAGUGGCGCAGCUAACGCAUUAAGUUCUCCGCCUGGGGAUUACGGCCGCAAAGGCUAA